AUUGAACGCUGGCGGCAUGCCUUACACAUGCAAGUCGAACGGCAGCGGGGGAGAAGCUUGCUUUUCCUGCCGGCGAGUGGCGAACGGGUGAGUAAUACAUCGGAACGUGCCCUGUAGUGGGGGAUAACUAGUCGAAAGAUUAGCUAAUACCGCAUACGACCUGAGGAUGAAAGUGGGGGACCGCAAGGCCUCAUGCUAUAGGAGCGGCCGAUGUCUGAUUAGCUAGUUGGUGGGGUAAAGGCCUACCAAGGCGACGAUCAGUAGCUGGUCUGAGAGGACGAUCAGCCACACUGGGACUGAGAAACGGGCCAGACUCCUACGGGAGGCAGCAGUGGGGAAUUUUGGACAAUGGGCGAAAGCCUGACGGAGCAAUACCGCGUGAGGGAUGAAGGGUUUCGAUCCGUAAACCCCUGUCAUUCGUGAACAAUGUCUAUUCGUGAAUAACGAGUGGAUUGAUAGUAGCGAAAGAGGAAGGGACGGCUAACUCUGUGCCAGCAGCCGCAGUAA
rnacentral:rRNA from 1 species